rfam:Camelus ferus unplaced genomic scaffold scaffold904, whole genome shotgun sequence.
CUGUCUCUUGCUUCACCAGUGUUUGGACAGAACAG